AUGCAUCCGCUCGAACCUGCCGCGUGCGGCGAGGGAGGGGCCACGGUACGUCCCCGACAGCCCGCUCUGGGAACCUACUUCCGCCGCCGUCAUGCCCAGCAACUCGAGGCCACCAACGGCGUCGUGCCCUCCGGCAGGCUCAACACCGCCGGCCGGCGUCUGUGGUGGGGCGUGCCCGGGCGCACGUUGGAGGCCGUCCUCGAGUACAUCGAGGGCGGCAACACGCCGCGCCUCGAGUACCCCGCCCCCCCUUCCUUGUCACGCCGCCGGGGAAGCUCCUGGACCCCGAGGCGCAUGGAGACCGGGGGGUCCUCCUCCUCGUCCGGCGGCUCGCCCUGCCUCCGCCCCGUCAAGCCGGAGCCCCAGGACACACCGGUCAGUGCACGCACCCGCAGCUCCGGCGUCCGCAUCGGCGCCAACGCCUCUCCACCCACCGGCCGCUUCGUCCUCGUCGAGCCCAAGCCGGAGCCCGGCCUCCCCGCAGAGUACAAGGAGAUAGCCCGGCGCGGCUUCUCCGACGAGGACGCCAUGCGGUGGGAGCGGGACGACUAUCUCCGCGACGAGAUGGUCGCCCUGGAGGAGAUCGCCGCCCGCAAGCGUGGGCGCGAGGACGAGCACGACGUCGUGGUCCUCGACAGCGACGACGACGACGCCCCCGGACCGUCCAACCCGCCGCGCCAACCGGGGGAGGGAUGCAACAGGGACGGCGGAGGCGGAGGCAGGGGCGGCGACGACGAGGACGACGAUGACGACGACGGCGGUGACUACACGUGGUUCUACAGCCUCCUCGGCAUGUAG
rnacentral:rRNA from 1 species